GUGACCAGCAGCCAAUGGGGCGGCGGAGGCGGCUGGCCGGUCGCGCUGUGAGAGCGCAGUGUACCUCAGCGUAGGGUUCGGCAGGGGCUGUGACGGGCCGUUGCGGCGCGGGUGGAGUGGGGUGCGUUGCGCGUGAGGGCAAAAUAUGAAACAGGAAUUUUAAACUCUGCGGACUUGCCAUGGAAGACUCAGAAGAACAUCGCUUCAGCUCCGUUGAAGAGGAAACCAGAUACUGGAAAGAGUUGGCUAUGAAAUACAAGCAAUGUGCUGAGAAUACACAGGAGGAACUGCGUGAAUUCCAAGAAGGGAGCCGGGAAUAUGAAGCUGAACUAGAAACUCAAUUGCAGCAAACAGAGUCCAGAAACAGAGACCUUCUUUCAGAAAACAAUCAUUUGCGAAUGGAACUGGAGUCCGUUAAGGAGAAGUUUAAAAUGCAGAAUUCAGAAUGGUACAGGCAAAUCUCUGCACUGGAAGAUGACUUGGCACAGACGAAAGCUAUUAAGGAUCAACUUCAGAAAUACAUUCGAGAACUUGAGCAAGCAAAUGAUGACUUGGAAAGAACAAAAAGAGCUGCUAUAAUGUCUCUUGAAGAUUUUGAGCAGCGUCUAAACCAGGCUAUUGAAAGAAAUGCUUUUCUGGAGAGUGAACUGGAUGAAAAAGAAAACCUUCUGGAGUCCAUGCAACGUCUGAAAGAUGAAGCUAGAGAUCUACGGCAAGAACUUGCAGUACAGCAGAAACAGGAGAAACCCAAAACACCAAUGCAAACUAGCCUGGAAACAGAAAGAACAGACACUGCAGUUCAAGCAUCCUUAUCUUUGCCUUCAACUCCCUCCGUGCACCGAGCACCCAACAUCAGCAUACCCACCCCUGCGACAUUUAGGAGAGGUUUUGAGGACAGUUACUGUGCAACCCCCCUCACACCUGCUGCCAGAAUAUCUGCACUUAACAUCAUGGGAGACUUGCUGCGAAAAGUAGGGGCUUUGGAGUCCAAACUUGCCUCCUGCCGAAACUUUGUGUAUGACCAGUCUCCAGACAGAAGCACAGUGUCCAUGUACAUGAACAGAGAUGUCCUUGAAACACGCAUGAGUCCUCAUCAGCCUCUGUGUGAUACAGGGUUAGUGAAACGCCUGGAGUUUGGAACAAGACCUUCAAAUAUUCCAGGACCAAUGAGUCAUCCUUCACAAAGUGUUGUUAAAAUGCUGCUAUGAAAAGGAAAAAUGAAAUCUUAUGUACAUAUAAUAUGAAUAUCAAUAGGCAACCAGACAGAAGUGUAAGAGUAGGUAGAAAGCAGAGUUCUACAGUUUGAUGAUGCAGAUACAGAAAUUUCCUAUGAAUCAAGUCAGCCUGUGUUUCUGUCUUAGUGUUUUCAGAUCCAACAAGUGCAGGAAAACUCAGGAGUAUUUGAGUAGCAUAAAAAGGGCUGGAAAUGACUUAGAACCUGGAGUUACAUCAAUGAAAACAGCAGACAGGUGAGAGCUUCAGCCACACCAAUAUCUCAGAGAACUGCAUCGACUAAGCUAAUAUUACAGUUCAGAGCAAAAUGAUGAACUUUAAUCACUAAGGUAAGAUUAUUACAGAUUUUGAAGAAAGUACUUUAUUUAAAAUCUGCCUUCCAACAUUUUCCUGUGUCAAAGGAGCAAAAAGAAGUAAUAGGAUAUAUUUUGGAACUCUUAGCUACCUUGC